UUAUGAGGCUUGUUAGGGGCACUUGGAAUUUCGCCCAAUAUCCGGCAACGCCGGUACAGGGAUGUACCGGCGAGGCGCAUAUGAACAUGGAUGCGAAUUUGCGCCGGUUGCCGAAAAAACUACUCAUGUUUCGAAAUUCUUAGUGCCCCUUUUCAAGCAUCAUGC
rfam:Roseburia sp. CAG:45 genomic scaffold, scf100